ACAGCCAUAUAGCUUUGAAACUCCAGUUCCUGUAUGAUCAUUGAAGUUAAGUAACAUCAUGUCUGGUCAGUACCUAGAUGGGCAACCAUUUGGGAAUACCACGUGCUGUAAG